rnacentral:rRNA from 1 species
CCCUUAGAGUUUGAUCCUGGCUCAGGACGAACGCUGGCGGCGUGCCUAAUACAUGCAAGUCGAACGAAGCUUUCUUUCACCGAAUGCUUGCAUUCACCGAAAGAAGCUUAGUGGCGAACGGGUGAGUAACACGUAGGCAACCUGCCCAAAAGAGGGGGAUAACACUUGGAAACAGGUGCUAAUACCGCAUAACCAUGAACACCGCAUGAUGUUCAUGUAAAAGACGGCUUUUGCUGUCACUUUUGGAUGGGCCUGCGGCGUAUUAACUUGUUGGUGGGGUAACGGCCUACCAAGGUGAUGAUACGUAGCCGAACUGAGAGGUUGAUCGGCCACAUUGGGACUGAGACACGGCCCAAACUCCUACGGGAGGCAGCAGUAGGGAAUCUUCCACAAUGGACGAAAGUCUGAUGGAGCAACGCCGCGUGAAUGAAGAAGGCCUUCGGGUCGUAAAAUUCUGUUGUCAGAGAAGAACGUGCGUGAGAGUAACUGUUCACGUAUUGACGGUGUCUGACCAGAAAGCCACGGCUAACUACGUGCCAGCAGCCGCGGUAAUACGUAGGUGGCGAGCGUUGUCCGGAUUUAUUGGGCGUAAAGGGAACGCAGGCGGUCUUUUAAGUCUGAUGUGAAAGCCUUCGGCUUAACCGAAGUAGUGCAUUGGAAACUGGAAGACUUGAGUGCAGAAGAGGAGAGUGGAACUCCAUGUGUAGCGGUGAAAUGCGUAGAUAUAUGGAAGAACACCAGUGGCGAAAGCGGCUCUCUGGUCUGUAACUGACGCUGAGGUUCGAAAGCGUGGGUAGCAAACAGGAUUAGAUACCCUGGUAGUCCACGCCGUAAACGAUGAGUGCUAAGUGUUGGAGGGUUUCCGCCCUUCAGUGCUGCAGCUAACGCAUUAAGCACUCCGCCUGGGGAGUACGGUCGCAAGACUGAA